GACAGAGGGUGCAAACGUUGUUCGGAAUUACUGGGCGUAAAGCGCGUGUAGGCGGCUAUGCAAGUCGGAUGUGAAAGCCCUCGGCUCAACCGGGGAAGUGCACCCGAAACUGCAAAGCUAGAGUCUCGGAGAGGAUCGUGGAAUUCUCGGUGUAGAGGUGAAAUUCGUAGAUAUUCGGAAGAACACCAGUGGCGAAGGCGACUUACUGGACACAUACUGACGCUGAGGUGCGAAAGCGUGGGGGAGCAAACAGG
rnacentral:rRNA from 1 species